UCCCUGAGGACUAGCGGUUAGGCCUCGGUGCUGUCACCGCCGUGGCCUGGGUUCGAAUCCCGGCCGGGGAA